rnacentral:rRNA from 1 species
CAAAGGUAGCGUAAUCACUUGUCUUAUAAAUAAAGACCAGUAUGAAUGGCUAAAUGAAUAUUCAACUGUCUCCUUCAACUAAUCAGUGAAACUGAUCUUUCAGUACAAAAGCUGGAAUAUAAACAUAAGACGAGAAGACCCUGUGGAGCUUUAAAUUUUUAUCAGGGCUUGUAUAAAUAAUGCUUAUGGUAGAGAAUUUUUAGUUGGGGCGACUUUGGAGUAAAACACAACCUCCAAGAAAAGGCACCGCCUGAACAUGGCCCACAAGCCAAAACUAUGCGACCCAGUACCACUGAUCAACGAACCAAGUUACCCCAGGGAUAACAGCGCUAUCUUCUUCAAGAGUUCAUAUCGACAAGAAGGUUUACGACCUCGAUGUUGGAUCAGGACACCCAAAUGGUGUAGCCGCUAUUAAAGGUUCGUUUGUUCAACGAUUAACAGU